rnacentral:rRNA from 1 species
GAGCCGUAGAAAUCGGAACGCUAGUUUCGAUGGAGGCGCUGGUGGGAUACUACCCCUGCGUUAUGGCCACUCUAACCCGCACCACUAAUCGUGGUGGGAUUACCCGCGACAGGACGGAAAGACCCCAUGGAGCUUUACUGUAGUUUGAUAUUGAGUGUCUGUACCGCAUGUACAGGAUAGGUAGGAGCCGUAGAAAUCGGAACGCUAGUUUCGAUGGAGGCGCUGGUGGGAUACUACCCCUGCGUUAUGGCCACUCUAACCCGCACCACUAAUCGUGGUGGGA